UAUGGCAGAUUAGUGCAAAGGCCUUAAAAUCCUUUUAUAAAGAAUAAUUCUUUUAUUAAAA
rnacentral:tRNA from 4 species